AUUGAACGCUGGCGGUAUGCCUUACACAUGCAAGUCGAACGGUAGAGGGGCAACCCUUGAGAGUGGCGAACGGGUGAGUAAUACAUCGGAACGUGCCCAGUCGUGGGGGAUAACGUAGCGUAAGCUACGUUAAUACCGCAUACGACCCGAGGGUGAAAGCGGGGGACUCGCAAGGGCCUCGCGCGCUUUGAGCGGCCGGUGGCAGAUUAGGUAGUUGGUGGGGUAAGGGCCCACCAAGCCUGCGAUCUGUAGCUGGUCUGAGAGGACGACCAGCCACACUGGGACUGAGACACGGCCCAGACUCCUACGGGAGGCAGCAGUGGGGAGUUUUGGACAAUGGGCGAAAGCCUGAUCCAGCCAUACCGCGUGCGGGAAGAAGGCCUUCGGGUUGUAAACCGCUUUUGUCUGGGAAGAAAUCUUCUGGGUUAAUACCUCGGGAGGAUGACGGUACCUGAAGAAUAAGCACCGGCUAACUACGUGCCAGCCGCCGCCGUAA
rnacentral:rRNA from 1 species